rnacentral:rRNA from 1 species
CUACGGUGGGCUGCAGUGGGGAAUAUUGGACAAUGGGCGAAAGCCUGAUCCAGCCAUGCCGCGUGUGUGAAGAAGGCCUUCGGGUUGUAAAGCACUUUCAGUGGGGAAGAAAGCCUUGGGGCUAAUACCCUCGAGGAAGGACAUCACCCACAGAAGAAGCACCGGCUAACUCCGUGCCAGCAGCCGCGGUAAUACGGAGGGUGCGAGCGUUAAUCGGAAUUACUGGGCGUAAAGCGCGCGUAGGCGGUCUGAUAAGCCGGUUGUGAAAGCCCCGGGCUCAACCUGGGAACGGCAUCCGGAACUGUCAGGCUAGAGUGCAGGAGAGGAAGGUAGAAUUCCCGGUGUAGCGGUGAAAUGCGUAGAGAUCGGGAGGAAUACCAGUGGCGAAGGCGGCCUUCUGGACUGACACUGACGCUGAGGUGCGAAAGCGUGGGUAGCAAACAGGAUUAGAUACCCGAGUAGUC